rnacentral:rRNA from 1 species
GCAAGUCGAACGAGAAAGUCACUUCGGUGGCGAGUACAGUGGCGCACGGGUGCGUAACACGUAGGUGACCUGCCUUUUAGUGGGGGAUAACUCGGAGAAAUUCGUGCUAAUACCGCAUAAGAACUGCAAUUUUGAAAGUAGCAGUAGAAAGAAUGCCUCUAUACUAUGCAUUUGCUGAAAGAUGGGCCUGCGGAACAUUAGUUUGUUGGUGGGGUAAUGGCCUACCAAGACUACGAUGUUUAGCUGGUCUGAGAGGAUGAUC